rnacentral:rRNA from 1 species
AACGAACGCUGGCGGCAUGCCUAACACAUGCAAGUCGAACGAGACCUUCGGGUCUAGUGGCGCACGGGUGCGUAACGCGUGGGAACCUGCCCUUAGGUUCGGAAUAACUCCCCGAAAGGGGUGCUAAUACCGGAUAAUGUCUUCGGACCAAAGAUUUAUCGCCUUUGGAUGGGCCCGCGUUGGAUUAGCUAGUUGGUAGGGUAAAAGCCUACCAAGGCGACGAUCCAUAGCUGGUCUGAGAGGAUGAUCAGCCACACUGGGACUGAGACACGGCCCAGACUCCUACGGGAGGCAGCAGUGGGGAAUAUUGGAAAAUGGGCGAAAGCAUGAUCCAGCAAUGCCGCGUGAGUGAUGAAGGCAUUAGGGUUGUAAAGCUCUUUUAACCGGGAUGAUAAUGACAGUACCGGGAGAAUAAGCUCCGGCUAACUCCGUG